rnacentral:lncRNA from 1 species
AUAACAUAGAGGUUCCUUAUAUAAGAGAUUACACCGUCAUAAAUAAAUGGAAAGAUUACAAAUCAUAAUCUCUUUGUUAUGAGUCAUCCACAAUCUGGUUCAUAACACUCCUCCUUGGAUGCCAUAACCAUUUAGAGCUUGUAAUGUGCUUUAAUGUUGCUUCAUUAAAAUCUUACCAGGAAAACACAAUUGGGACAAAACCAUGGUGAAGGAAAAAG